GUUUGAUCCUGGCUCAGGAUGAACGCUAGCUACAGGCUUAACACAUGCAAGUCGAGGGGUAGCAGGGUAGCAAUACCGCUGACGACCGGCGCACGGGUGAGUAACACGUAUCCAACCUACCAUUCACACGGGGAUAGCCUUUCGAAAGAAAGAUUAAUACCCGAUAGUAUAACGAUAAGGCAUCUUAUUGUUAUUAAAGAAUUUCGGUGUUUGAUGGGGAUGCGUUCCAUUAGAUUGUUGGUGAGGUAACGGCUCACCAAGUCUUCGAUGGAUAGGGGUUCUGAGAGGAAGGUCCCCCACAUUGGAACUGAGACACGGUCCAAACUCCUACGGGAGGCAGCAGUGAGGAAUAUUGGUCAAUGGACGAGAGUCUGAACCAGCCAAGUAGCGUGAAGGAUGAAGGCCCUAUGGGUCGUAAACUUCUUUUAUAGGGGAAUAAAGUGCGGAACGUGUUCCGCUUUGUAUGUACCCUACGAAUAAGGAUCGGCUAACUCCGUGCCAGCAGCCGCGGUAAUACGGAGGAUCCGAGCGUUAUCCGGAUUUAUUGGGUUUAAAGGGAGCGUAGGUGGAUAUAUAAGUCAGUUGUGAAAGUUUGCGGCUCAACCGUAAAAUUGCAGUUGAUACUGUAUGUCUUGAGUGUNCANNNNNUAGGCGGAAUUCGUGGUGUAG
rnacentral:rRNA from 1 species